rnacentral:rRNA from 1 species
GAUAAACGCUAGCGGCGUGCAUUAUGCAUGCAAGUCGAACGGUAUGUCGCAAGAUAUACAGUGGCAAACGGCUGAGUAACACGUAAGUAACCUGUCCUUAAGUGGGGAAUAAUCCGCCGAAAGGUGGACUAAUACCGCAUGUGGUAAUAGAAUUAGUUUUUUAUUACUAAAGCUUUCGGGCGCUUGAGGAGGGGCUUGCGGCCUAUCAGGUAGUUGGUGAGGUAACGGCCCACCAAGCCUAUGACGGGUAGCUGGUCUGAGAGGAUGUCCAGCCAGACGGGGACUGAGACACGGCCCCGACUCCUACGGGAGGCAGCAGCAGGGAGUUUUGCGCAAUGGGCGAAAGCCUGACGCAGCAACGCCGCGUGAGGGAAGAAGGCCUUCGGGUUGUAAACCUCUUUUAUCAGGGAAGAAUAAUGACGGUACCUGGUGAAUAAGUCACGGCUAACUACGUGCCAGCAGCCGCGGUAACAC